rnacentral:rRNA from 1 species
AACGAACGCUGGCGGCGUGCCUAACACAUGCAAGUCGUGCGAGAAAGUUCCUUCGGGAGCGAGUAAAGCGGCGCACGGGUGAGUAACACGUAGGUAACCUGCCCCCCAGUCUGGAACAACUAGAGGAAACUCUAGCUAAUGCCGGAUGAGACCACGAUCCCUUCGGGGGUUGCGGCCAAAGAUGGCCUCUACUUGUAAGCUAUCGCUGAGGGAUGGGCCUGCGGCCAUUAGCUUGUUGGUGAGGUAACGGCUCACCAAGGCUGUGAUGGCUAGCUGGUCUGAGAGGAUGACCAGCCACACUGGGACUGAGACACGGCCCAGACCUCCUACGGGAGGCAGCAGUGGGGAAUAUUGCGCAAGUGGGACGAAAGCCUGACGCA